AGGAAGUAGAGUAUUCACCAAAAAAAAAACUAAGAGGAAGUAGAGUUGUUAGAAACCCCAUACGUGUCGUUUUAUUAUUGGAUUUUCUCUUUUUUGCCUUCUCUCUCUUCUUCUUCGUCUUCUCUUCGUCUUCGUUCUUUGUUUUUUUUCUGGUCUGAGAAAUCGAUGGGGACAACAAAUCGGGUGGGGAUCAUUUUCGGUGGUGUAGAUGAAACGUGGUUGCUAUCAAGGAGAUCGCCAUGGAAAUUGCGACGUCGGGGAUUUUCAUCUCGAGGAAGAUCAGUCACCCCAACGUCAUCCGCUUCAUCGACAUGAUCGAGGUUCGUCUUCUUUUGCUCUUCUUGACAUGAUUGAGGAUGUUGUUAGCUCGUAUAAAGCUCCCAUCUUUCUUGGACCAGCUUCACCACAACAGCUACGUAGGGAAAGGAUAGCUGAAAGGAUCAUGGCGCUUCAAGAACUUGUACCCACUGUUAACAAGGUCUCUAUCUUUCACCUUCUCUACGGCAGCGCAAGAUGCUGGAUUCAGAUACUAUGGAGACUCGUCUCUUGCUUUUGCAAGUGGAGCCAAGACACACAUGUGACAACUAAAAAGACAGUAGCCUGUGACACAAAUGAACAACAAUCUGAUCCAGUCUCUGUCUCUGGAACUUUGUUGUCAAAACGAAACAUUGUGCUUGAUUAUUAGUGUUUGUGAAACAUAGGCCAUGAACAUUUGAAUGUUGCAGCACCUACGAUCAAAAUGUUGUUUGAUUGACCUUUGCUUAUCUCUGUUUCUAUAACAUUUAAAUUUGAUAACUAAACUUUAAAAAAAAAAUUGUUUUUAAGAACCUCAAAGGGGUUCUCCCAUUGGACCUUCACAAAAGUAAUUAUAUUAACAAGGGUUCUUAACUUCAUAAAGUACACACUUAAUAAUUAAACUAAUGGUUAGAACCCAUCAAGGGUUCUAACCAAUGGACAUGCUCUUAGCCUCUGUUUCUCAAGUCAUCGGAAUUUGUAGAUCUCACGGAUUUUCUUUUAUCGAGGAUAAUUAAAAUUUUGUUUUUCGAAGCUUUUAAUUAACAUGAUCGUGAGAUAUAUUAAUAAAAAAUUGUUACAUGUGACAAUAAAAACAUACAAUUAUAUGAUAAUAAUUUUCUGCUUUAAAAUCUUAAUAAAAAUUAGAAAUUUUCCCUUUUAAAUCCUAACUAAAAGAGAAAUGAUAUUUUUUUUUAAAAAGUAUAGCCUAAAAUAAUCUUGAUAUUAACAAAAAUAAAUUAUCAAAUUGUAAAAUUGUAAAAUUAUUUAAUAUUAAUUGGAAAUAAGUAUUUGAUAGUAAUUUUUUUUUCUAAAAUUCUAAAAAAAUAUAAUUGCAAAAGAUUAUGUGAUAGUAAUUUACUUUUCUAAAAUCCCUUAAAAACUGUAAAAGAAAAUUUGAUAGUAAUUUUCCAUUUUUUUAAAUCCUAAACAAAAAGAUUUUUUUAAUAUUUUUAUUUUAUAAAAUCCUAAUAAAAAUAAAAUUUUAAAAUCUAUUUGAUAGUAAUUUUUAAAACUAAUAUAACAAAUAACAGAUGUGCAACUUACAGAACCAUAUCUAUAUAUAUAUCUAGUACAUCAUAAAAAUAAUCCUUUUCUUUUCCUCUUAGAAAUGAGAACCAGUUUGAAAAAAGAGAAAUUAUGAUGUAUAUACACGGAAAUAUUCGAAAUUUGCCAAAUGCCACCCUAUUGAUCUAUUUUAUUUUAAUACCAUUUCGCCCCUACAUCCUAACACGCUUAUCUUUUAGUCUUCACCGCCUUGGUGUCAGAUCCUAUUAGUAGAACACACUAUUACACGGCAUGUCACUUAAGGUUUCGAGGCUUCUCUAGAUUAUUUCUAAUAUUUUUACUUUAAUGACGAAAAGGGUAAAUGAAAAGUCAGCUUUUACAUUUACGUGUAAGGGAUCCUUUUGAAAUAGCACUCUUUUCCAAUUUUUGCAUCUUCAUUUCUCCAGACCUACUUUUAUUUCUUUAGAGAAACAAGACGCUUUCUUUAUCUCCGAGCGACACUAUGGAGCAAACAAUACUGCAUGAACGGAUGUUUGUAGCUGGUGAAGAACCAUCCGGAGAUAGAGUAAACACUUACCACAAACCGAAGAGAAUUGAAUCUAUAUUAGAUGCGCUCGAGCCAGAAGAGGUUCAUUUCCUGCAGCAGACGAUGUUUGGGAAGAUCAUUUCACUAGCAGAGAAUCCUUCAUUUUCAGGAAGUUUCGGCCAGUUCGUGAUUGUCCGAAUCCUCCACGUGAAAAAAGUACAAGACUUGGUUUCUCUUCUCUGGAAAGCCGCUCAGGAUGUCAAUGCACGAGUUCGCACAAGUCACCAGCCUCAAUUGCAGCAAGAUUCCGAAGAUAAACUGCAAACAGAAGAAGCACCCCAUUAAGGAAAAGCUUUACUGGAGGGAACUAAUUGGAUCUCUCAAGUUCUGCUUAGUCGACACGGCCAUCGAAAUGCUACAGAAGAAGAAAAUAAAAGACAGAGAGAUGCGUUUGAAGUAUGUGUGUCUGACUUUUACCUCUUGUGUUUUAAUCCCGACAUCACACUUUCCUCGGAUUAUCCCUGAGCAUGUGGAGAUGAUACGCAAGUUGGAAAAUUUUUCUGAAAUAUCCGUGGGGGAAUGUGACAUUUGAGAUGCUUGUCACUGGAAUUAAAAUACUGUGAUAGUUAUGACAGUCAAAAUAAAUGUCAAUGGACCAAAACACCUAUUUCGUAGUAUCAAACUUGUUUGCAGUUAAGAAAUUUAAUGCAGAAAGUCAAAUCUAAAAAAUAUUAGAGACAUACCUCGAACACAAAGGGAUAACGACUACUGUAAAAGGAUCUUCGCCACUAGAGCAAUCUCACUCUAACAUGUUUCUUUCUCUCUCUAUCGAUUAUGCUUUACAUUUAUGUUUUCCCAGACCUCCAUUAAAUACACUACCAAAAUCCCAAAAAAAAUUCGGAUAACCUGUAAUUCCCCCCCCCCCCAUUUUUACGAUCCACAGAUGUUUCCAGGGGCUUUUGUUUCGAUCCGUUUGUACUUGACAGAGUAACCUAAAGAAACCGGUCGCUCGAAAAGAUGUCAGCCGGAAAGCUAUAUCAGAAUAGUAUCUUUUGUUUGCACUUCUGAAGAUCACGCCGACUCGCAACUUUUCACCUACUCGCCGCACGUCUCGAGGCGAUAAGGACAUUUUUGGAAAGGGGGACGCAAAAAGGUACGGGCCCAACAAGUUCUUUUUGUUUUUGGGUACUUUUUUAAUUUUCUAGCGAUUGGAAUAUAUUGACCCUAUUAUCUCUUGAAAAAAAUCUUAAAGUGUAAACUCUUCUUUAAAAAAGAGUUACUCAAAAUUAUAUUUAUAAUUAUUUUGUUUAUAAUUAAUGUGAUAUAUAAAGUUUCAAUGAAGAUAUAUGAGUUAUUAUUUAUUAAUAUAUUUAAAAUUUUUGUCAAAAAUAAUUAUUUGUUAAGAAAUGAUACUUUAAUGGUGAUAUAUGUUUAUCAGUCAUUAAUUCAUUAUCAUAUUUAAAACUUUUUUGUCAAAAAUAUAAAUUUUAUUAAAAAAAAGAAUUAUACGUGUAACAGUUAAAUUGAAGCCUUGUCAAUUUUUGUUAAAAUGAACCAUGACAUAUGUAAAUCAAAAUUUAAAUAAUGUUUAGAGAAUGAGUUUACGGAAAAAAAAAAAAGAAAAAAACAUAAAGUAGAAACAAAUGGACAUAGACAGCGGCACGAUCCACAAGAUAACUGCUUUACCAAAUAAUUAAAUUUUGGUUCGGUUCAAGUAUCCGCUAUUCAAUGGGUAAAGUCAACACUGGGCCGGGUCAUGGUGGGAAAGAGUCCAUGGGCUACCUGAAAUAACCAUAGGGUUUUCUAUUUUUUUUUUCUCAGCAUCUUUUCCUCACCUGCGAUCCUUCGCCAUUUCUCCAGCGUCUCCCUCAGAACUCAAUCCUUUAUUCCGCUUCUACCAACACUUUGGUGUUUCUUUAUACUUGAGUGAGCCAUGGGGAGAAAGGCUGGAAAUUUGUACAUAAACCCGAAAAAGCUCGGUGGUAUAGCGAAACCAUGUAUGAAGGAGAUGGUGACGUUCCUCAACUGCAUGGCUCUCAACAAAUGCAAAGAUGAUAACUGCGAGAAACAGAAGAACCUCCUGAGCGUUUGUAUGAACGGACAUGCGGAGAAGUCCAAGUCGUGGGGAAACAUCAAUUACCAUUUGCAGAGGCUAACCCGCGGAAGAAAGUGAUGUGGCAUAUGGAGCUUGUUCUAUCCAUAGACUGAUGGGUCAAAUGGUAGUUAUAAUGAUCUUAUUGAUUUCUAAGUUUGUCUCCCUGUGCUUUUUUGGGUAUUCCAUAUUUAUAAGUUGUUGGCAUUUAGAAGAAGAAGAAACUUUGGACAUAUUGUUCACCUAAGGAGAAAGGAUUUGGUUUCCUUGGUUUUGCAAUAAACAUGUCUUCCGUGUCAAGUCAGAGAGGUCCAUGAGUAUUAGUGUUCUCUAGAAACAUAAACUACAUCUAUGAAUCAAACCAUGAGUUUUAAGUUUUGUAUUGGUUUUACAUAAUAUUAUCAAAUUUUAUUGAUAA